CGGACGAAAGCUCAGCGGUCGAGCAGCGGCGAAAGCCGUUGGCGCCGGUUCGAAUCCGGUUCGUCCAC
rnacentral:tRNA from 1 species